rnacentral:rRNA from 1 species
AUGUAUAUGCUUACAACAUAGGGUUAAUGCACCAGAUCCCAUUAGAACUCCACAGUUAAGCGCACUCCGGAUAGAGUAGUACUAGGAUGGGUGACCUCCUGGGAAGUCCAUCUGUUUUACAUG